rnacentral:rRNA from 1 species
CCCUAGUAACUGCGAGUGAAGCGGGAAAAGCUCAAAUUUAAAAUCUGGUGGUCUUUGGCCAUCCGAGUUGUAAUUUAGAGAAGCGUCUUCCGCGCUGGACCGUGCACAAGUCUCCUGGAAUGGAGCGUCAUAGAGGGUGAGAAUCCCGUCUUUGGCACGGACGCACCAGGGCUUUUGUGAUGCGCUCUCGAAGAGUCGAGUUGUUUGGGAAUGCAGCUCAAAAUGGGUGGUGAACUCCAUCUAAAGCUAAAUAUUGGCGAGAGACCGAUAGCGAACAAGUACCGUGAGGGAAAGAUGAAAAGCACUUUGGAAAGAGAGUGAAACAGUACGUGAAAUUGUUGAAAGGGAAACGCUUGAAGUCAGUCGCGUCGACCGAGACUCAGCCCUGCCUCGGCUUGGCGUACUUCUCGGCCGACGGGUCAGCAUCAAUUUUGCCCCUUGGAUAAUGGCGAGAGAAAUGUGACACCUUUAUGGUGUGUUAUAGUCCCUCGUCGCAUGCAAGGGUCGGGAUUGAGGAACUCAGCACGCGCCUUUGGGCGUCGGGGCAUUGCCCACGAUACGUGCUUAGGAUGUUGGCGUAAUGGCUUUAAACGACCCGUCUUGAAACACGGACCAAGGAGUCUAACAUGCCUGCGAGUGUUCGGGUGGAAAACCCGUGCGCGCAAUGAAAGUGAAAGUUGGGACCUCUGUCGUGGAGGGCACCGACGCCCGGACCAGACCUUCUGUGACGGCUCUGCGGUAGAGCAUGUAUGUUAGGACCCGAAAGAUGGUGAACUAUGCCUGAAUAGGGUGAAGCCAGAGGAAACUCUGGUGGAGGCUCGUAGCGAUUCUGACGUGCAAAUCGAUCGUCAAAUUUGGGUAUAGG